rnacentral:misc_RNA from 1 species
UAUCCGUAGGUGAACCUGCGGAAGGAUCAUUCAUAAUAAGUGUUUUACGGCACUUUUUUAAAUCCAUAUCCACCUUGUGUGCAAUGUCAGGGUUGAUUUUUCUCUCGAGAGGAUCAACCCCAAACAUCAACUAUAUCUCAACUCUUUGUCUGAAAAAUAUUAUGAAUAAAACAAUUCAAAAUACAACUUUCAACAACGGAUCUCUUGGCUCUC